rfam:Plicaturopsis crispa FD-325 SS-3 unplaced genomic scaffold PLICRscaffold_4, whole genome shotgun sequence.
UCUUUGAUAGUAUAAUGGUCAGUACGCCCGCUUGUCACUCAAUUCCAAAGCGUGCGCGGGAGACCUGGGUUCAAUUCCCAGUCAGAGAG